UACGGGGGGGAGCAAGCGUUGUUCGGAUUUACUGGGCGUAAAGGGCGCGUAGGCGGCCACCGCAAGUCGACUGUGAAAUCUCCGGGCUUAACCCGGAAAGGUCAGCCGAUACUGCGGGGGCUAGAGUACAGAAGGGGCAACUGGAAUUCUCGGUGUAGCGGUGAAAUGCGUAGAUAUCGAGAGGAACACCUGCGGCGAAGGCGGGUUGCUGGGCUGAUACUGACGCUGAGGCGCGAAAGCCAGGGGAGCGAACGGG
rnacentral:rRNA from 1 species